rnacentral:rRNA from 1 species
UACAGAGGUGGCAAGCGUUGUUCGGAAUUACUGGGCGUAAAGCGCACGUAGGCGGCUUUGUAAGUUAGAGGUGAAAGCCCGGGGCUCAACCCCGGAAUUGCCUUUAAGACUGCAUCGCUAGAAUUGUGGAGAGGUAAGUGGAAUUCCGAGUGUAGAGGUGAAAUUCGUAGAUAUUCGGAAGAACACCAGUGGCGAAGGCGACUUACUGGACACAUAUUGACGCUGAGGUGCGAAAGCGUGGGGAGCAAACAGG